rnacentral:rRNA from 1 species
CAAUAUGAAGGCCAGGCUGAAGACUUUGCCGGAUUAGCUGAGAGGUGGUGCAUGGCCGUCGUCAGUUCGUACUGUGAAGCAUCCUGUUAAGUCAGGCAACGAGCGAGACCCACGCCCACAGUUGCCAGCGUACUCUCUGGAGUGACGGGUACACUGUGGGGACCGCCGCUGCUAAAGCGGAGGAGGAAUGGGCAACGGUAGGUCAGUAUGCCCCGAAUAUCCCGGGCUACACGCGAGCUACAAUGGUUGGUACAAUGGGUAUCUACCCCGAAAGGGGACGGGAAUCUCCUAAAACCAAUCUUAGUUCGGAUUGUGGGCUGCAACUCGCCCACAUGAAGCUGGAAUCUGUAGUAAUCGUGUCUCAAAAUGGCACGGUGAAUAUGUCCCUGCUCCUU